AGCCCACUGCUGACUCAUAUCCAGCUUCUCGUCCACUGUAAUCCCCAGGUCCUUUCCUGCAGAACCGCUUCUUAGCCUGUCGGUCCCCAACCUGCAGCGGGGUAUGGAAC